rnacentral:rRNA from 1 species
GGUAAGACNUACGCUUUUCUUGACUCUUCAAAGGUCUUGGAAUAAGGGGUGGGUAAGGACGGUGCCAGCCGCCGCGGUAAUACCGGCGCCUCAAGUGGUAGUCGCUUUUAUUGGGCCUAAAACGUCCGUAGCCGGUCUGGUGCAUUCGUGGGUAAAUCAACCCGCUCAACGGGUUGAAUUCUGCGAGCACGGCCAGACUUGGGACCGGGAGAGGUGUGGGGUACUCUCAGGGUAGGGGUAAAAUCCUGUCAUCCUGAGAGGACCACCUGUUGCGAAGGCGCCACACUAGAACGGAUCCGACGGUCAGGGACGAAACCUAGGGGCACGAACCGGAUUAGAUACCCGGGUAGUCCUAGGUGUAAACGCUGUGGACUNNANGNNGGGGGCGCUCCGAGCGCUCUCAGUGUCGAAGCGAAGGUGAUAANNCCACNGNU